GACUCCCGCUGCCCGGUGUAGAGAACGCCUUUCCCUUCGGGGACAGCGGUGACAGGUGGUGCAUGGUUGUCGUCAGCUCGUGUCGUGAGAUGUUGGGUUAAGUCCCGCAACGAGCGCAACCCUUGAUCUUAGUUGCCAGCAUUCAGUUGGGCACUCUAAGGUGACUGCCGGUGACAAACCGGAGGAAGGUGGGGAUGACGUCAAAUCAUCAUGCCCCUUAUGACCUGGGCUACACACGUGCUACAAUGGAUGAUACAGAGGGUUGCCAACCCGCGAGGGGGAGCCAAUCCCAUAAAAUCAUUCCCAGUUCGGAUUGGAGGCUGCAACUCGCCUCCAUGAAGCCGGAAUCGCUAGUAAUCGUGGAUCAGCAUGCCACGGUGAAUACGUUCCCGGGCCU
rnacentral:rRNA from 1 species